AAUAGUAAAUUGCUUUAUUUGUAGCUACACAUAGCUUAGAAAAACUUACUUUAAAAUGAAUUCUGUAUGUGAACUUGAAAAAAAAUAAUAUGCAACUCUUCUGCUGGUUUCAAAAUAGACCUUUGUAUCCAGAAAUAAAAAUAAAUGAUUUGUAAUUAAUUAAUCACAGUAGCACUGUGCAGUUGGUAUGAAUUUCAAAAAUCAGACUUUCAAAAAUCUCUCUGAAGAUUCUUGCUAUGCACUGUCUUUGCACUUUUUAGAAGAAAAAAAAUGUUCUCCAGAAUUUAAUUGAAAUUAACACCGUUAUAAGUGCUACUUGAAGAGGGAGUUGAAGAAAGGAUGUUAAGAUCUUCCUUGUCUCUUUCUGUUAUUUCAACACAGCCUGUUUGUCCCAUGCCAUGCAACUGACUUUGUCCUUUCAGACUUUGAUCAUAAACAAUUUCCCUCCAGCCAGAAUAUUUUACUCUCUUCAAACUUUUUCUGAUCCUCUCCUUGUACCAGCAUUGUCUCUGGUACAGUGUCCAAGCUAAUACUCGGUAGACAGUAGUGUUAAUUCCUUAGAGCUGGAGGUACUAUUCCAUUGUUAGAUGAAAAAAAAAAGGAUCCAAAAUUUCAAAGUGCAAAAGACCCCAAGCUAAUGAAGCUUUUCAAUAUUAGAUUAAAUUAAAAGUGGCAAAAAAUUGGCAGAGAGGAUAUUUAGAAGGCACAUACCUCCAAAUCCUGCAUCGUAUGUCUUAGAAUGCUUAUGCUUGUAAACACUUCCGUCUUUGAAAUGCAUCCAAAGCGUUCUCGCUUUCAGCGAGUGUAAACGCCAGGAGAGGUGCUGGGCCCUCUCUGUUAGCUUUUUUGACUGUGAAUUCCAUUUACACACACCCUUCAACACUGCUGGUUCCUCUGAAGCCAUUCCUCACGAGAAUCUCUGUUCAUAUGUCAGUUUUGUUGUCACAAAGAUGUAUGUUUUAUAGAGCACUUUAAUUCAUUUUUGAAGAAGUAAUAUGAGAAAAUGUGGUUCCCAUAUGUCCUCGCACAUGAUAUGUCAGCCUUGCAUGAUGGCAGCCUUCUCUGUCUGUCCCCUGAAGGCAGCU
rnacentral:lncRNA from 1 species